ensembl:misc_RNA Metazoa_SRP Metazoan signal recognition particle RNA
GCCAGCGCAGUGGCGCGAGCCUGAGUCCCAUCUACUCGGAAGGCUGAGUUGGGGGAUCACUUGAGCCCUGGAGUUCUGGGCUAUAGUGCGCUAUGCCGAUCGAGUGUCCGAACUAAGGCUGGCAUCAAUAUGGUGAUCUCCCAGGAGCGGGGGACCACCAGGUUGCCUAAGGAGGGGUGUACCGGCCCCGGUCACAAACGGACAAGGUCAAAACUCCAGUGCUGAUCAGUAGUGCGACCGCGCCUGUGAAUAGCCACUGCACUCUAGCCUGGGCAACAUAGCGACACCCUGUCUCUU